UACGUAGGGUGCGAGCGUUGUCCGGAAUUAUUGGGCGUAAAGUGCUCGUAGGCGGUUUGUCGCGUCGGGAGUGUAAACAUCUGGCUUAACUGGGUGCUUGCUUUCGAUACGGGCAGACUUGAGGCAUGCAGGGGAGAAUGGAAUUCCUGGUGUAGCGGUGAAAUGCGCAGAUAUCAGGAGGAACACCGGUGGCGAAGGCGGUUCUCUGGGCAUGUCCUGACGCUGAGGAGCGAAAGUGUGGGGAGCGAACAGG
rnacentral:rRNA from 1 species